AGAGUUUGAUCCUGGCUCAGGAUAAACGCUGGCGGCGUGCCUAAAACAUGCAAGUCGAACGGUUCACGUCCUUCGGGGUGUGGAUAGUGGCGGACGGCUGAGUAACACGUGGGUGACCUGCCCUCGAGCGGGGGAUAACUGCCCGAAAGGGUGGCUAAUACCGCAGAUGUCGGUUCUUCGGUGAGCUGACUGAACCGUUUAGGGUUCGGGGAGGGGCCCGCGGCCGAUUAGCUAGCUGGUGGGGUAACGGCCUACCAGGGCGACGAUCGGUAGCUGGUCUGAGAGGAUGAUCAGCCAGACUGGGACUGCGAACGGCCCAGACUCCUACGGGAGGCAGCAGUUAGGAAUUUUGGGCAAUGGGCGAAAGCCUGACCCAGCAACGCCGCGUGGGUGAUGAAGGCCCUCGGGUCGUAAAGCCCUUUUCCCAGGGAAGAUGAUGACGGUACCUGGGGAAUCAGCCCCGGCUAACUACGUGCCAGCAGCCGCGGUAAUACGUAGGGGGCAAGCGUUGUCCGGAUUUAUUGGGCGUAAAGCGCUCGCAGGUGGUCCGUCGCGUCGUGCGUGAAAGACCCCGGCUCAACUGGGGAGUGUCGUGCGAUACGGGCGGACUGGAGGCCAGUAGGGGGAUGCGGAAUUCCGGGUGUAGUGGUGGAAUGCGUAGAGAUCCGGAGGAACACCAGCGGCGAAGGCGGCAUCCUGGACUGGUCCUGACACUCAGGAGCGAAAGCGUGGGGAGCGAUCCGGAUUAGAUACCCUAGUAGUCC
rnacentral:rRNA from 1 species